CGUGAUUGUUUCCAGGCCCGAAUUCAGCGCGUCGUUCUCUCCUCUAUCCUUAUCGUCUUUGUACACCAUGUUGUCGGUUAGUCCAGGUGUUUCCAUCUCAACGCCUCCCUCAUCUUGGCUCAAAAAUCGGACAAGAAUGGUACUAUUUACAGCUCCUCAACCUUAUCCUGAUAGGGGAUUCGAAUUUCUAAAUUUCAAAUUCAUUCAAAAUCCAUCCCGAGUUUCCCCCCAUUUUCUACCCUAAUUCCAUUCUACAAAAACAUUCAUCUUUUUCUUUAUGAGGCGGUGAAAAAAAAAAGAGAUGGAGCAUUCAAAAAAAUAGGGAAAAAUUGAGGAAGGAAAAUGAGAAAGGGUAUAGGAAGUCAGUCACAGUUUGUUUAUCAAAUAGCUUAUAAAGGUCUUAGGAAUCAACUUCUAGAGUUGAAAAAUCCUUAGAAAGUUUUUCUCUUUCUAAAUUCCUGGAGGUUUCUUCGUCCAAUUUCCCUUCAGAUUUCUUGAUUAUUGCUCGAGUUGAACUUAGUAGAGAAGUCGUUGCUAGCUCGUUGUUCUCAGUUCAGCUGUCCAGAAAAAGGUAAUAUUUACUCCUUUGUUUCCUUCUCAUUUCAAUUUAGUGUAUUAUGUGAUGGUUCUAUCUCUGUUGGUUUUUUUUCUUGGCUGGUUCUCCCUUGAGUCGGAUGUGAAUGGUCAUGGUUUACUGCCGUUGCUUUUGGAAUUCUUGUCGAGGAAUGAUCCAUCAUCAACUUCAAAACCGAUUGUGAAAAAAUGCCUAAAAAGGGGGAGAAGGUGGAAUUGUUGGUGACUCUGAUAAGGGCUUUAGAUUGGGAUAUAUGGGUGACACCAAUGUUGAAAGUGGAAAAAAUGUGGGAAUUGAUACAAAGCAAAUGAAAAAGUGUAGAAUGAUUUCUUUAUCAUUUAUUUCUUUCACCAGAUCAAAUUGUUGAUUUUUUUUUUCAUUUUUUUUAUACAUAUGAUUCAGAUUUUUAAUGUAUCUAUUUUUUUUGUUUCUUAAAUUAAUAUAUGAUGUCUUCGUUUUAGCAUUAUGAUA